rnacentral:rRNA from 1 species
UUCUUUGAGAGUUUGAUCCUAGCUCAGGACGAACGCUGGCGGUGUGCCUAAGGUAUGCAAGUCGAGCGACCACUUUUUGAGCCGCAAGGCAAGGGAAGUGGGAGCGGCGAACGGGUGAGAAUAACGUGGGAAGAUACCCUCGGAUGGUGAAUACCUCGCCGAAAGGCGAGCUAAUGCACCGUGGUCUGCGUAGAGAAUUACGGUUCUCUAUUCAGUAUAGGUCGCCUUUGGCGACUGUCCGAGGAUUCGCCCAUGUCCUAUCAGCUAGUUGGUAAGGUAAAAGCUUACCAAGGCGAUGACGGGUAGGGGGCGUGAGAGCGCGUACCUCCACAAGGGCACUGAGACACGGGCCCUACACCUACGGGUGGCAGCAAUCGGGAAUUUUGCGCAAUGGACGAAAGUCUGACGCAGCGACACCGCGUGAGGGAUGACAGCCCUCGGGUUGUAAACCUUACUCAAAAAGCACCGGCUAACUACGUGCCAGCAGCAGCGGUAAAACGUAGGGUGCAAGCGUUGUCCGGAUUUAUUGGGCGUAAAGAGUUCUGUAGGCGGAAAGGAAAGUAGUCAGUAAAAUUCUUGGGCUCAACCCAAGACUGGCUGGCUAAACUACCUUUCUAGAAGUAGAGAGGGAGCAGCGGAACUGGUGGUGGAGCGGUAAAAUGCGUUGAUAUCACUAGGAACACCAAGGGCGAAGGCAGCUGCUUGGCUCUUUCUUGACGCUGAGAGACGAAAGCGUGGGGAGCGAAACGGAUUAGAUACCCGUGUAGUCCACGCUGUAAACAAUGGAUACUGGAUGCUUGUUCCUCGCCUUUGGCGAGGAGUGGGCGUCGAAGCUAACGCGUUAAGUAUCCCGCCUGGGAAGUACGGCCGCAAGGCUAAAACUCAAAGGAAUUGACGGGGACUCGCACAAGCGGUGAGGCAUGUGGUUUAAUACGAUAAUAACCGUAGGACCUUACCCAGGUUUGACAUGCACUUGCAAUCCGCCAGAAAUGGCGGAGAUCCUUCGAGGGUAGUGCACAGGUGUUGCAUGGCUGUCGUCAGCUCGAGUCGUGAGAUGUUAGGUUAAGUCCUUUAUCGAGCGCAACCCCUAUUGCUAGUUGUAUCACUCUAGCGAGACUGCCCGCGCAAGCGGGAGGAGGGUGGGGAUGACGUCAAGUCAGCAUGGCCUUUAUGCCUGGGGCCACACACAUGCGACAAUGGUCGGCACAACGGGUCGCAACUUUGUAAAAAGAAGCCAAUCCCUAAAAACCGAUCUCAGUUCGGAUUGAAGGCUGCAACUCGCCUUCAUGAAGUUGGAAUCGCUAGUAAUCGCCGGUCAGCUAUACGGCGGUGAAUACGUUCUCGGGUCUUGUACACACCGCCCGUCAAGCGAGGGAAGUCGAAAUCGCUCGAAGUGCCACGUCUGACGUGGCCCUAGAGCGAGGUCGGUAACCAGCGCUAAGUCGUAACAAGGUAGCCCUAGGGGAAUCUGGGGCUGGAUCACCUCCUUU